ACCUGAAUUUGGAUGCUAGAAUCCGCAGCCUCUAUGCCACGUUACCCACUAAUACCAUGCUUAUAAUUUGCACUGGCCAUGGUGAUACAGCAAUUGUCCAUAGCUUUCAGAUUUUGGUCUUCCAGUGUCCAAUGGGGCCCAAAACAGGAACAACAUUCAGCUUUCAGGAACUUUGGGUUAUGUAGCCCCAGAGUAUCUUUUAGAUGGUAUGCCAACUAAAAUUGUAAUAAUUUCUUCCCGUAUUCUUAAGUCUGACUGGUUGCUAAUGUCUAUAAAUAUAUAAUUUUUCUUUGCUAACUAUAUAAUAUAAUAAAAUCGUUUCGAUCCUAACAA